GGUGCAGCAGGCGCGAAACCUUUACACUGCACGCAAGUGCGAUAAGGGGACCCCAAGUGCGAGGGCAUAUAGUCCUCGCUUUUCUCGACUGUAAGGCGGUCGUGGAAUAAGAGCUGGGCAAGACCGGUGCCAGCCGCCGCGGUAAUACCGGCAGCUCAAGUGAUGACCGAUAUUAUUGGGCCUAAAGCGUCCGUAGCCGGCCAUGAAGGUUCAUCGGGAAAUCCGCCAGCUCAACUGGCGGGCGUCCGGUGAAAACCACAUGGCUUGGGACCGGAAGGCUCGAGGGGUACGUCCGGGGUAGGAGUGAAAUCCCGUAAUCCUGGACGGACCACCGAUGGCGAAAGCACCUCGAGAAGACGGAUCCGACGGUGAGGGACGAAAGCUAGGGUCUCGAACCGGAUUAGAUACCCGGGUAGUCCUAGCUGUAAACGAUGCUCGCUAGGUGUGACACAGGCUACGAGCCUGUGUUGUGCCGUAGGGAAGCCGAGAAGCGAGCCGC
rnacentral:rRNA from 1 species